AGAGUUUGAUUCUGGCUCAGGACGAACGCUGGCGGCGUGCUUAACACAUGCAAGUCGAGCGGAAAGGCCCUUCGGGGUACUCGAGCGGCGAACGGGUGAGUAACACGUGAGUAAUCUGCCCCUAGCUCUGGGAUAGCUCCGGGAAACCGGGAUUAAUACCGGAUAUGACCACUACGGACAUCUGUUUUGGUGGAAAGAAUUUCGGCUAGGGAUGAGCUCGCGGCCUAUCAGCUUGUUGGUGGGGUAACGGCCUACCAAGGCGACGACGGGUAGCCGGCCUGAGAGGGCGACCGGCCACACUGGGACUGAGACACGGCCCAGACUCCUACGGGAGGCAGCAGUGGGGAAUAUUGCGCAAUGGGCGAAAGCCUGACGCAGCGACGCCGCGUGGGGGAUGAAGGCCUUCGGGUUGUAAACCCCUUUCAGUUGGGACGAAGCUUCGCCGGUGAAUAGCCGGCUGGAGUGACGGUACCUUCACAAGAAGCCCCGGCUAACUACGUGCCAGCAGCCGCGGUAAUACGUAGAGGGGCUCAAGCGUUGUCGGAUUCAUUGGGCGUAAAGGGUGCUGUAGGCGGCGCGGUAAGUCGGUGUGAAAGCUCGGGAGGCUAAACCCCGAAGCGUCAGCGAUACUGGCGUGCUUGAGUACGGAAGAGGUAGACUGGAAUUACGGUGUAGCGGUGAAAUGCGUAGAUAUCAGGAGGAACACCUGAGGCGAAGGCAGGGCUACUGGGCGAUUACUGACGCUGAUGUGCGAAAGCAGGGGAGCGAACAGGGAUUAGAUACCCCGGUAGUCCAUGGCCGUAAACGAUGGCACUAGGUGUGGGGGACAUUCCACGUUUUCCGCGCCGUAGCUAACGCAUUAAGUGCCCCGCCUGGGGAGUACGGCCGCAAGGCUAAAACUCAAAGGAAUUGACGGGGACCCGCACAAGCGGUGGAUGAUGUGGAUUAAUUCGAUGCAACGCGAAGAACCUUACCUACCCUUGACAUGUACGGAAGCCCGGUGAGAGCCGGGUGUGCCCGAAAGGGAGCCGUAACACAGGUGCUGCAUGGCUGUCGUCAGCUCGUGUCGUGAGAUGUUGGGUUAAGUCCCGCAACGAGCGCAACCCUUGUCUCCAGUUGCUACGCAAGGGCACUCUGGAGAGACUGCCGGUGACAAACCGGAGGAAGGUGGGGAUGACGUCAAGUCCUCAUGGCCCUUAUGGGUAGGGCCUCACACGUCAUACAAUGGCCGGUACAGAGGGUUGCCAAGGCGCGAGCUGGAGCCAAUCCCAGAAAGCCGGUCGUAGUCCGGAUUGCAGUCUGCAACUCGACUGCAUGAAGUCGGAAUCGCUAGUAAUCGCGGAUCAGCAUGUCGCGGUGAAUACGUUCCCGGGUCUUGUACACACCGCCCGUCACACCAUGGGAGUGGGUUCUACCAGAAGUAGGUAGGCUAACCGCAAGGAGGCCGCUUACCACGGUAGGAUUCAUGACUGGGGUGAAGUCGUAACAAGGUAGCC
rnacentral:rRNA from 1 species